rnacentral:rRNA from 1 species
UACGUAGGGUCCGAGCGUUGUCCGGAAUUAUUGGGCGUAAAGGGCUCGUAGGCGGUCCGUCACGUCGGGAGUGAAAACUCAGGGCUCAACCCUGAGCGUGCUUCCGAUACGGGCGGACUAGAGGUAUGCAGGGGAGAACGGAAUUCCUGGUGUAGCGGUGGAAUGCGCAGAUAUCAGGAGGAACACCGGUGGCGAAGGCGGUUCUCUGGGCAGUUACCUGACGCUGAGGAGCGAAAGCAUGGGGAGCAAACGGG